rnacentral:rRNA from 1 species
CGGGUGAGUAACACGUGAGUGACCUGCCUUUUAGACUGGAACAACUUACCGAAAGGUGAGCUAAUGCCGGAUGAGUUAUAUAAGUGCAUGUUUAUAUAGGAAAAGUUGGGGAGACCUGACGCUGAAAGAUGGACUCGCGUCCCAUUAGCUAGUUGGUAGGGUAAUGGCCUACCAAGGCGACGAUGGGUAGCCGACCUGAGAGGGUGGCCGGCCACACUGGGACUGAGACACGGCCCAGACUCCUACGGGAGGCAGCAG